GACGAACGCUGGCGGCGUGCUUAACACAUGCAAGUCGAACGGUAAGGCCCUUUGGGGUACACGAGUGGCGAACGGGUGAGUAACACGUGGGUGAUCUGCCCUGCACUUCGGGAUAAGCCUGGGAAACUGGGUCUAAUACCGGAUAGGACCACUGCCUGCAUGGGUGGUGGUGGAAAGCUUUUGCGGUGUGGGAUGGGCCCGCGUCCUAUCAGCUUGUUGGUGGGGUGAUGGCCUACCAAGGCAACGACGGAUAGCCGGCCUGAGAGGGUGACCGGCCACACUGGGACUGAGAUACGGCCCAGACUCCUACGGGAGGCAGCAGUGGGGAAUAUUGCACAAUGGGCGCAAGCCUGAUGCAGCGACGCCGCGUGAGGGAUGACGGCCUUCGGGUUGUAAACCUCUUUCAGCACCGACGAAGCGCAAGUGACGGUAGGUGCAGAAGAAGGACCGGCCAACUACGUGCCAGCCGCCGCAGUAA
rnacentral:rRNA from 1 species